CGGACGGGUGGCCGAGUGGUCGAAGGCGCACGCCUGGAAAGUGUGUAGGCGGGGAACCGUCUCGUGGGUUCGAAUCCCAUCCCGUCCGCCA
rnacentral:tRNA from 1 species